AUCCUUCGGGGUUACAGCCUUGCUGAAUUAUUCACCCGUGUCUUUUGCGUACUUCUUGUUUCCUUGGUGGGUUCGCCCACCAUAGGACAAACCAUAAACCUUUUGUAAUUGCAAUCAGCGUCAGUAAAAAAAUUAAUAAUUACAACUUUUAACAACGGAUCUCUUGGUUCUGGCAUCGAUGAAGAACGCAGCGAAAUGCGAUAAGUAGUGUGAAUUGCAGAAUUCAGUGAAUCAUCGAAUCUUUGAACGCACAUUGCGCCCUUUGGUAUUCCAAAGGGCAUGCCUGUUCGAGCGUCAUUUGUACCCUCAAGCUUUGCUUGGUGUUGGGCGUCUUGUCUCCAGUUCGCUGGAGACUCGCCUUAAAGUAAUUGGCAGCCGGCCUACUGGUUUCGGAGCGCAGCACAAGUCGCGCUCUCUUCCAGCCAAGGUCAGCAUCCACAAAGCCUUUUUUCAACUUUUGACCUCGGAUCAGGUAGGGAUACCCGCUGAACUUAAGCAUAUCAAUAA
rnacentral:misc_RNA from 1 species